rnacentral:rRNA from 1 species
GAAGGGUGCAAGCGUUACUCGGAAUUACUGGGCGUAAAGCGUGCGUAGGUGGUUCGUUAAGUCUGUCGUGAAAGCCCCGGGCUCAACCUGGGAAUGGCGACGGAUACUGGCGGGCUAGAGUGCGGUAGAGGAGAGUGGAAUUCCCGGUGUAGCAGUGAAAUGCGUAGAGAUCGGGAGGAAUAUCAGUUGCGAAGGCGGCUCUCUGGAUCAGCACUGACACUGAGGCACGAAAGCGUGGGGAGCAAACAGGAUUAGAUACCCUGGUAGUCCACGCCCUAAACGAUGCGAACUGGACGUUGGGAGCAACUAGGCUCUCAGUGUCGAAGCUAACGCGUUAAGUUCGCCGCCUGGGGAGUACGGUCGCAAGACUG